rnacentral:lncRNA from 1 species
AAAAACAUGCUCUCUCUGUGUGUGUCUCGCCUCCCCCCUCUCUCUCUACAUGUCACUCUCGAUCUUGAUCUCGGUCUCGUUCGCUUGCAACCGAUCUCUAUAUCGAUCACUCUCUCAAUCUCGAUUACUCUCUCUCUAUUUCGUUUUCGAUUGGUCUCACUCGAUCUCCAUUGAUAUCAACCGAUGGUAUGUUUCUCAUCAACAAUCCACAAAUUUUAUAUUCAAUGGAAAGGAAAAGUAAGUUAAACAUUAUUUUCCUUGUGUAGAUUCAAAACCCUAGAAAUCGAUUAAAUAUGCCUCAUUUUACAUCAAACCACUCGAAAACACUAUUGUCAAUAAAUCACACAAAAUAAUCAUUAAAAAACGUAAGAGGAUGUCUGUGCUGAACAAAACUUAUUAUUAAAGAUAAAUUUAUCCGUGUUCAACAAAAAUCAUGAGUUUAUUUGUGUUCGACAAAAUUUUUAUCGUACGAUUACUGCACAUCAAGAUCUUAUAGCAAUUAUUUAGUUUCAUUUUUAUUAUUAGUGUUUUUAUUGAGGUUGAGUUUAUCAGUAUUACGUUUAUCUGUAUUGAACAAAAAAAAUAGUAUAAUGCUUGUUUAUAUUUCCGAACAUAAUUAUUGGGGAUAAAUCAACAACCAUUUGCUUCUUUAAUCAGUGUUAAAAUUAUUGAUGAUGACUUUAUGAGUUUUAAAUUUAUGUGUUAAAUAAUUACAGCAAGAAAAGUGGUCUAUCUUUGCAUAUAAUUAACAGGCAUACAUCAAGAAUUACUUGAAUUAUUUUAUGUAUCAGUGCUGAAUUUAUCUGUACUGACAUUAUCAGUGUUAAGCUUAUCUGUUUCAUGUUCAUCUGUGUUGACAAAAACACUAGAUCCUUGGUUCUAUUUUUGAGCAAAAUAUUAUAUCGCGUGCAGGCCUUGCAAAUAAACAACCUCGGCCAAAGGUUUCACCGUAUAAAAUACGAUCUAGAGUAAAAAAGCAUAAGAAUGCAACAAUGGAGGAAGCGGCAUCAAUUUCUUGGCAAGAAAAAAUAGCAAUAUCAGAAUUUGUAUCUAUGGUCAAGAAGCAGAAGCCAACCAAAAAAAGCGAGCCAACAUCAAUAGAAGGCAAGGACAAAAAGCUAACAUACCGAUGGAAUAUGCAAUCAAUAAUCAAUCUGAUCGAAGAUAUCAAGCUGAAGGGUAGAUACAUAGAGGGCCUGAAAAAAACAUCAUUUUGGUUCCUCUUUAAGGCAUUGAUAUACAAAAAGUUAACUGAUGCUUAGUGCCAAAAAUUUGAUGCGGAUGCUUUGAAGGUAAGAAAGCAAUUUGAGAACAAGAACC